UAAAUAUCAAUUUAAAAAAUGCUAUCUUAUACGCUUAAUUAUUAACAAAGAAAACGUAAUUUGAACCAAUGUUUCUGAUGUGAAAUCCAUUACUAUUAUGAAGGUAAAUCCUACCAUACGUCUCAAGAGCUCAAGAGGUGGGCACUCUUUUAACUUGGCCAUGCAUGUAAACUCUCCGACUAGGAUUUCUCAAUUGUCAUUUAGUACUAUUGAUUAUAUUUGCUCAAAUUUCUCUAGCUAAAAGAUAGGCUAUAGUGUAGAAGCCACAAGCAUAUCGGACCUUGAUGCAAUGUUAUAUAACAUCUUUGAUAUUUACAAUCAAAAUAAACCUAUAUCACUUAAUGAAAUUUUAACCGAUUUCAAGAGCUGAAUAGGUCAAUCGAUAAAAACAUUUCAUCUAAUGUGUCCAAACCGUGGUACAUCUAUUUAGUGUAACUUUGCCAAUUAAUAAAUUAAAAUCUAAAACUGAGUAUUGUAACGAUAUUGUAAACACUGAGAAACCAGUUGACAGAAUGACAUAAGUGGUACACCGCACGACAUCUACAAGGUUAAGCGAGAAUCUUCCAAAACAGCGUUCUGCCGAGUAUACAUGGAGCCGCAUCGCCGAUAGUCAAGGGUAUAAAGGUUGAAAAUGGCGAGGCGGUAUAGUCUGCCACCCAAGAUGGUUCGAUUGAUUCUGAUUGAACAAUAAUAAUGUAAACGACACUUCACCUGUCGUAUUUUAUGACUUUUUUAGCAGUGUUUGAAAAACAAGCCAAGCAUCAUAACUUUCUUCUCAUUUAAAGUUUUAAAUAAAUUUUAUAGCAUUU